rnacentral:tRNA from 1 species
GGGCAAGUACCAGAGUGGCCAAAUGGGGCAGACUGUAAAUCUGCUGGUUGUACCUUCGGUGGUUCGAAUCCAUCCUUGCCCACCU